rnacentral:rRNA from 1 species
CCCUUAGAUGUCCUGGGCCGCACGCGCGUUACGCUGAUGCAUUCAUCGAGUUUACAACCUUGAUCGAUAGGUCUGGGUAAUCUUUUCAAUGUGCAUCGUGCUAGGGAUAGAUUAUUGCAAUUAUUAAUCUUGAACGAGGAAUUCCUAGUAAACGCAAGUCAUCAGCUUGCAUUGAUUACGUCCCUGCCCUUUGUACACACCGCCCGUCGCACCUACUGAUUGGAUGACUCGGUGAAAAAUUGGGACUAUGAGAGAUACUGCUUAAUUGCGGCAUUUUUUAUGGGAACUUUUUUAAACCUCGUUAUCUAGAAGAAGGUGAAGUCGUAACA